rnacentral:rRNA from 2 species
UUGCACAAAGCCNNUGGAGCAUGUGGUUUAAUUCGAAGCAACGCGAAGAACCUUACCAAAUCUUGACAUCCCUCUGACAAACUGUGUAAAGCAGUCUUCUUCGGACAGAGGUGACAGGUGGUGCAUGGUUGUCGUCAGCUCGUGUCGUGAGAUGUUGGGUUAAGUCCCGCAACGAGCGCAACCCUUGUCUUUAGUAGCCAGCAUUUCGGAUGGGCACUCUAGAGAGACUGCCAGGGAUAACCUGGAGGAAGGUGGGGAUGACGUCAAAUCAUCAUGCCCCUUAUGAUUUGGGCUACACACGUGCUACAAUGGCGUAAACAAAGGGAAGCGACCCUGUGAAGGCAAGCAAAUCCCAAAAAUAACGUCUCAGUUCGGAUUGUAGUCUGCAACUCGACUACAUGAAGCUGGAAUCGCUAGUAAUCGCGAAUCAGAAUGUCGCGGUGAAUACNNNUCCCGGGCA